rnacentral:rRNA from 1 species
GUAGGUGGCAAGCGUUGUCCGGAAUUAUUGGGCGUAAAGCGCGCGCAGGCGGUUCUUUAAGUCUGAUGUGAAAGCCCACGGGCUCAACCGUGGAGGGUCAUUGGAAACUGGAGAACUUGAGUACAGAAGAGGAAAGCGGAAUUCCACGUGUAGCGGUGAAAUGCGUAGAGAUGUGGAGGAACACCAGUGGCGAAGGCGGCUUUCUGGUCUGUAACUGACGCUGAGACGCGAAAGCGUGGGGAGCAAACAGGAUUAGAUACCCUGGUAGUCCACGCCGUAAACGAUGAGUGCUAAGUGUUAGGGGGUUUCCGCCCCUUAGUGCUGCAGCUAACGCAUUAAGCACUCCGCCUGGGGAGUACGGCCGCAAGGCUG